rnacentral:lncRNA from 1 species
AGAAAAUCCUUCUUGAUUUAAGAAUUUUUUGAUAUUUUGGCUGGAAACAAGACAAAAAAUCUAAGUAGGAAAAGCAUUUUUUGCAGUGAAGUGACAGUUUUCAACCAAAAUUGAUUUUACAGACAUUUAAGGAUGGCAGACGUAUUCAGAUACUUUUUGGGAGCACUAUAUACUGACAGUAUUAAUGAUGCACCAUUUUUCACUGAGCCUCGUUUGCGGUCAAGUAACAUUUUUUUUUUUCUGUUUCUUGUUAGGAAUCAACAGCCAACUUUCCUUUCCCUUCUCCUCCUCCACUCAUCCCAAAGGCAUCACAGCCCCAACUCAGUGGGAUCAAUCCUUUUUCUAGGAGCGCUGGACAAAAAUUGUCUGGGACAAUGAGUCCGAAUCAAGGGUCCAUUUCACAGGUAGAAAUCCUUAUAAAUGCCUAUAUUUAUCAUAACUGUCAUGCAAAUAUUCAGGUUAAUUGUUUUGUUCAUAGGGUCCCUAAUGAAGGUUCGUAAUUGAGGAAUAAUCAUCAAAUGAGGAACUCUGGGAUGGACUUUCAGCCUCGUGACUAGUGUUCACAUGACCAAGGGAUUCCAUAGGCACACCCCUUCAGUUCCACUAGAGGAGGUCAGAGGGGCCUAUGCAUCUUUAUAUACAGUAACACCUGUGGUUACAGAAAUACACUGAGGACAUAGAGUUCUUGAUAUAAUCUGUUAAGGGUUUGGUGCCCAGUCUUCUUUGAAUGAAGACACUGAACAGCUGAGGCACAGCUCCCCGUGCUGACUCUAGGGAUUUGUGUCAUUCCCUUUGGGAACGGGGACCAGAUGGAAAUGGGUGCUGAGCAAAGGUGCUGUGACCUAUGGAAACAUUAAUUUAAGACGUCUCCUCAGCUGGCAAUGUCAGUAAAUUGUAUAACAUGUAACACUUCCAUCCCUCAUCCCACCCCCCCACAUGCAAAAUUAUUGUAAUAAUUUAAGUGGCUUUCACAAUUCAAAUGUUUAAGAUAUGGCGCCGGAGAGUAGUGAAAAUGUGGGAAAUGUUGUAAUUGUACAGGUGGUCCCUUUGGGUCACAGCCUUGAUUUAUUCCAGAGGAAGAGAUAUUGAAUUAAACAUGUUUUAUUCAAUAUCUCUACCAAAAAAAAAAAACUUUUUGUUGUAAAAAAAAAAUCUAAUAAAAAGCAAUAGUAUUUGUAC